UACAGAUAGUUCUUUGAAGAAGUAAUUUCCCCCCCCCUCCCCCCUUUUUUUUUCCUUCAGAUUUUCAACUUUCAGUGUCAUUUCAAAUUUCAGAAAAUAAGUGUGGAAAACAGGCUGAUGACAGCUUUGUGACAUCCACCCCUCUGCCUCUGAGUGCCUUUUAUCCAACAGGAAAACAAAGCAUUCAGUUAAGGAAGACUGGAAAAAUUAAGGAAGCAUGUAUACAUAGUGGAGGAGGCAGUCCACCCAUGCACAGACGUCUCUCUGUCUCCUGUUGUCUAAGGGAGAUUCACAAAGGCAGCCAGAGGAAUGAUUGGGUCCCAGAUGCUCAAGAGAAAAUGGCAGAGUAAUUCUCCACUGCUGCCUACAUGUGCUUCGAAAAAACAUUAGGAAAGAGAUAAAUGCAUAACUGAAAGGUGCUGAAUAAUUUGGGGAAAUGGGGUCACGCCCACCCACCCAUUUGUAGAGCUUAGAGAUCUGUAUAAAGAUGCAAAUGAAUACAUCUGUUGUGUCAUUAAAUGCAACUGCAGCAACCUAGAUGAAAGGGAAAGAGAGUGAGAGAGUGAGGGAGAAGUGCUGACUGGUAAUAGCACCACAAAGUUGUCUUCUGAGAUGAAGAUCUGCCAAGUGCAAAGCCCUAGGCUAGUAGUCUGGGUCUGGGUUGAGCAUGCGUUUAUUCUCUCUCUCAUUCCCUGCUACAUCUCAUAGUCUCAUGGUGGUACGCAGCUCUUUGUAG
rnacentral:lncRNA from 1 species